UUCCUUCCUUUCUCCCUCCAUGUUCUCCCUACUGGCCUUUGCAUCUGUCAUUCUGGUAUAAUGUUAAUCUUACGUCCCUUUUUGUAGUCAUGAUAGCUAUAAAGUUGUCUUAAACUAACCUAGCUAAUAAGCAAAAAUGUUAGUACAGAGAAGAAGUUAAAAUGUCUAUCUAGCUUGUUUCUUGUUUAUUCUUUCUAAACAUUUGCCCUUUCAUUUUCUAGUGGCAUGGUCUUAUGAAAAAUAUCUAAAAUCAUUGCCUCUUGUUUUUUUUAUAGGUAUCCAAGGUGGAUAACUACUGUAGGCUCCUCUCUUCCAUUUGGUUCUCUGCAUGGAGGAUAAGGUGGGGUGAAAGUGUAGAGAAGGCAUGUAUAUAAGAUAAAGAAGGUGGUGGGAACACAAAGAAGGGCAUGAAUUCAAUGUAAUGAUUAGAAUUUUCUACACAUAAUUCUGUCUGUAAAGCAUUUGCAAGGCUCUUCAUAUCUGUCUCUCUGUUGUCAGAUACAGAAUUAAGUAUUCUAUGCCCACCUGGAUUGUUAAAGUGUAUGUGAUGGUAAAGGAAGUGAUCCCUGCCAACUUAUGCCUCAAAUGGGUUUGUUUAGUGCUGGGAGAAAACCAUGUGGCCACGCAUGUAAGAAAUAUAUUGGAUCUUCAAUAUUGUCCAGUGAAGUCAAAAGAAGAAAAGUCUCUCCCUCAGUCUGGGAAAUACUAGCAGUGGUGCUAAUGGUGUAGUGGAAGAGAAAAAGAAGAAGGAAGAGGAAGAGGAAGAGGAAGAGGAAGUCUAAGGAAGCUUUGCAAU